GACGAACGCUGGCGGCGUGCUUAACACAUGCAAGUCGAACGGAAAGGCCCUGCUUUUGUGGGGUGCUCGAGUGGCGAACGGGUGAGUAACACGUGAGUAACCUGCCCUUGACUUUGGGAUAACUUCAGGAAACUGGGGCUAAUACCGGAUAGGAGCUCCUGCUGCAUGGUGGGGGUUGGAAAGCUUCGGCGGUUGGGGAUGGACUCGCGGCUUAUCAGCUUGUUGGUGGGGUAGUGGCUUACCAAGGCUUUGACGGGUAGCCGGCCUGAGAGGGUGACCGGCCACAUUGGGACUGAGAUACGGCCCAGGCUCCUACGGGAGGCAGCAGUGGAAAGUGUUGCACCAUGGGCCGAAGCCAGGUGACGCAACGCCUGGUGCGGGAAAACGGUCUUCGGGGUGUCACCCGCUUUCGCCUGUGACCAAGCGUGAGUGACGGUACUGGAUAAAGAAGCCCCGGCUAACUACGUG
rnacentral:rRNA from 1 species